UACGUAGGGUGCAAGCGUUUAAUCGGAAUUACUGGGCGUAAAGCGUGCGCAGGCGGUGAUGUAAGACAGUUGUGAAAUCCCCGGGCUCAACCUGGGAACUGCAUCUGUGACUGCAUCGCUGGAGUGCGGCAGAGGGGGGAUGGAAUUCCGCGUGUAGCAGUGAAAUGCGUAGAUAUGCGGAGGAACACCGAUGGCGAAGGCAAUCCCCUGGGCCUGCACUGACGCUCAUGCACGAAAGCGUGGGGAGCAAACAGG
rnacentral:rRNA from 1 species